GUAGGGGGCAAGCGUUAUCCGGAUUUACUGGGUGUAAAGGGAGCGUAGACGGAAAGGCAAGUCAGAAGUGAAAGCCCAAGGCUCAACCAUGGGACUGCUUUUGAAACUGUCAAACUAGAGUACGGGAGAGGUAAGAGGAAUUCCUAGUGUAGCGGUGAAAUGCGUAGAUAUUAGGAGGAACACCAGUGGCGAAGGCGUCUUACUGGACCGAAACUGACGUUGAGGCUCGAAAGCGUGGGGAGCAAA
rnacentral:rRNA from 1 species